CUAAUACAUGCAAGUCGAGCGAAUGGAUUAAGAGCUUGCUCUUAUGAAGUUAGCGGCGGACGGGUGAGUAACACGUGGGUAACCUGCCCAUAAGACUGGGAUAACUCCGGGAAACCGGGGCUAAUACCGGAUAACAUUUUGAACCGCAUGGUUCGAAAUUGAAAGGCGGCUUCGGCUGUCACUUAUGGAUGGACCCGCGUCGCAUUAGCUAGUUGGUGAGGUAACGGCUCACCAAGGCAACGAUGCGUAGCCGACCUGAGAGGGUGAUCGGCCACACUGGGACUGAGACACGGCCCAGACUCCUACGGGAGGCAGCAGUAGGGAAUCUUCCGCAAUGGACGAAAGUCUGACGGAGCAACGCCGCGUGAGUGAUGAAGGCUUUCGGGUCGUAAAACUCUGUUGUUAGGGAAGAACAAGUGCUAGUUGAAUAAGCUGGCACCUUGACGGUACCUAACCAGAAAGCCACGGCUAACUACGUGCCAGCAGCCGCGGUAAUACGUAGGUGGCAAGCGUUAUCCGGAAUUAUUGGGCGUAAAGCGCGCGCAGGUGGUUUCUUAAGUCUGAUGUGAAAGCCCACGGCUCAACCGUGGAGGGUCAUUGGAAACUGGGAGACUUGAGUGCAGAAGAGGAAAGUGGAAUUCCAUGUGUAGCGGUGAAAUGCGUAGAGAUAUGGAGGAACACCAGUGGCGAAGGCGACUUUCUGGUCUGUAACUGACACUGAGGCGCGUAGCCC
rnacentral:rRNA from 1 species